rnacentral:rRNA from 1 species
GACGAACGCUGGCGGCGUGCUUAACACAUGCAAGUCGAACGGAAAGGCCCUGCUUGCAGGGUACUCGAGUGGCGAACGGGUGAGUAACACGUGGGUGAUCUGCCCUGCACUUCGGGAUAAGCCUGGGAAACUGGGUCUAAUACCGGAUAGGAGCCAUUUUUAGUGUGAUGGUUGGAAAGUUUUUUCGGUGUAGGAUGAGCUCGCGGGCUAUCAGCUUGUUGGGGGGGUAAUGGCCUACCAAGGCGGCGACGGGUAGCCGGCCUGAGAGGGUGGACGGCCACAUUGGGACUGAGGUGCGGCCCAGACACCUACGGGAGGCAGCAGUGGGGAAGAUUGCACAAUGGGCGCAAGCCGGAUGCAGCAGCGCCGCGUGGGGGAUGACGGCCUUCGGGUUGUAAACUCCUUUCGCUAGGGACGAAGCUUUUUGUGACGGUACCUAGAGAAGAAGCACCGGCUAACUACGUG